rnacentral:rRNA from 1 species
UACGUAGGGUGCAAGCGUUGUCCGGAAUUAUUGGGCGUAAAGAGCUCGUAGGCGGUCUGUCGCGUCGGCUGUGAAAACCCGGGGCUCAACCCCGGGCCUGCAGUCGAUACGGGCAGACUAGAGUGUGGUAGGGGAGACUGGAAUUCCCGGUGUAGCGGUGAAAUGCGUAGAUAUCGGGAGGAAUACCUAUGGCGAAGGCAGGUUACUGGGCCAUCACUGACGCUGAGCUGCGAAAGCUAGGGGAGCAAACAGG